UACGUAGGGUGCGAGCGUUAAUCGGAAUUACUGGGCGUAAAGCGUGCGCAGGCGGUGAUGUAAGACAGGUGUGAAAUCCCCGGGCUUAACCUGGGAACUGCAUUUGUGACUGCAUCGCUGGAGUGCGGCAGAGGGGGAUGGAAUUCCGCGUGUAGCAGUGAAAUGCGUAGAUAUGCGGAGGAACACCGAUGGCGAAGGCAAUCCCCUGGGCCUCCACUGACGCUCAUGCACGAAAGCGUGGGGAGCAAACAGG
rnacentral:rRNA from 1 species